rnacentral:rRNA from 1 species
AUUGAACGCUGGCGGCAGGCCUAACACAUGCAAGUCGAGCGGAUGAGUGGAGCUUGCUCCAUGAUUCAGCGGCGGACGGGUGAGUAAUGCCUAGGAAUCUGCCUGGUAGUGGGGGACAACGUUUCGAAAGGAACGCUAAUACCGCAUACGUCCUACGGGAGAAAGCAGGGGACCUUCGGGCCUUGCGCUAUCAGAUGAGCCUAGGUCGGAUUAGCUAGUAGGUGAGGUAAUGGCUCACCUAGGCGACGAUCCGUAACUGGUCUGAGAGGAUGAUCAGUCACACUGGAACUGAGACACGGUCCAGACUCCUACGGGAGGCAGCAGUGGGGAAUAUUGGACAAUGGGCGAAAGCCUGAUCCAGCCAUGCCGCGUGUGUGAAGAAGGUCUUCGGAUUGUAAAGCACUUUAAGUUGGGAGGAAGGGCAGUAACCUAAUACGUUGCUACUUGACGUUACCGACAGAAUAAGCACCGGCUAACUUCGUGCCA